AGUGAACGCUGGCGGUAGGCCUAACACAUGCAAGUCGAACGGCAGCACAGUAAGAGCUUGCUCUUACGGGUGGCGAGUGGCGGACGGGUGAGGAAUACAUCGGAAUCUACUUUUUCGUGGGGGAUAACGUAGGGAAACUUACGCUAAUACCGCAUACGACCUACGGGUGAAAGCAGUGGAUCUUCGGACCUUGCGCGAUUGAAUGAGCCGCUGUCGGAUUGGCUAGUUGGCGGGGUAAAGGCCCACCAAGGCGAGGAUUCGUAGCUGGUGUGAGAGAAUGGUAGGCCACACUGGAAGGGAGACACGCACCAGGCUACUGCGGGAGGGAGCAGUGGGGAACAGUAGGCAAUGGGCGGGAAUCUGGUCCAGCGAGACCACGUGGGAGAAGAAGACCUCCGGGUUGGAAAGCCGUCUUGUUGGGAGAAAAAAGCAGUAGGUUGAGACGAAGCGGGACUGACGGUAAUGAGUAAAGAAGCACCGGCUAACUACGUG
rnacentral:rRNA from 1 species